GCGCUGGGGAUCUCAGUGGCGCAAGAGGCAAGAUUGUUGAUCUUGGGCAGAUGAGAUCUCUGACUCGACUCUCAAAGUUGUGAGUUCGAGUCUCGCCCGGUGCA
rnacentral:tRNA from 1 species